GAUCCUGGCUCAGGAUGAACGCUGGCGGCGUGCUUAGCACAUGCAAGUCGAACGGAGUGCUCUUGAUUGAGGAUUCGUCCAAAUGAUAGAGUUACUUAGUGGCGGACGGGUGAGUAACGCGUGAGUAACCUGCCUUGGAGUGGGGAAUAACACAGUGAAAAUUGUGCUAAUACCGCAUGAUAUAUCGGUACCGCAUGGUAGUGAUAUCAAAGAUUUAUCGCU
rnacentral:rRNA from 1 species